GAUGAAGAACGUAGCGAAAUGCGAUAAGUAGUGUGAAUUGCAGAAUUCAGUGAAUCAUCGAAUCUUUGAACGCACAUUGUGCCCCUUGGUAUCCCGAGGGGCAUGCCUGUUCGAGCGUCAUUUCACCACUCAAGCCUGGCUUGGUGUUGGGCGACGUCCUCUUUGGGGACGCGCCUCGAAACGCUCGGCGGCGUGGCACCGGCUUUAAGCGUAGCAGAAUCUUUCGCUUUGGAAGUCGGGGCCCCGUCUGCCGGAAGACCUGCUCGCAAGGUUGACCUCGGAUCAGGCAGGGAUACCCGCUGAACUUAAGCAUAUCAAUAAGCGGAGGA
rnacentral:misc_RNA from 1 species